AACCUGGUUGGGUGGUCUGCCUUCACGGUACGUACUGCUCGGCCGGGUUCUACCUCUUGGUGAGCCGUAAUGCCAUUAAUUUGGUGUUGCGGGGAAUUUGGACUGUUACUUUGAAAAAAUUAGAGUGUUUAAAGCAAGCUAACGCUUGAAUACAUUAGCAUGGAAUAAUGAAAUAGGACGUUCGAUCCUAUUUUGUUGGUUUCUAGGAUUGACGUA
rnacentral:rRNA from 1 species